UUGGAACCACGGGAAAGAUCGAAAAGGAUCAUCACCGGAUAGGUUGGAAGAGUCAUCGGUGGCUUUGACCACGAUAUGAUGGCGAGAAGAACGAGAUGAUGAGAAAUUGAAUGAGGAUCUGAAAAGCGGGGAGAGAGGAGAUGAUAGCGUGGAACGAGAAAUUGAUGCAAGAGAAGAAGGGAAUCUGAAUCUUGAGGAGAUGAUAGCGGUGGAAGAAGCCCUAGCAAUGGCGGUGGAGUUUCAACGGCGACCAAGCACCCCUUUCUUCUCUCCUCCAUCGCGUUUUCUCUCUCCCUCGAGCUCUCUUUCACCGGCGCUCGACAGCGGUGGAGCCAUAUGCGGCGUCGUCGUUUCUUUCCUUCCUUCCCCUCUCCUCUCUUCUUCUCUUCUUCUUCCUGUGCUCCCCUUUUCUGAUUUCUUCUCUUUCGUGUGUGUG
rnacentral:lncRNA from 1 species